UACAGAGGUCCCAAGCGUUGUUCGGAUUUACUGGGCGUAAAGGGCGCGUAGGCGGCCACCGCAAGUCGACUGUGAAAUCUCCGGGCUUAACCCGGAAAGGUCAGCCGAUACUGCGGGGCUAGAGUGCAGAAGGGGCAACUGGAAUUCUCGGUGUAGCGGUGAAAUGCGUAGAUAUCGAGAGGAACACCUGCGGCGAAGGCGGGUUGCUGGGCUGACACUGACGCUGAGGCGCGAAAGCUAGGGAGCGAACGGG
rnacentral:rRNA from 1 species